CUAUAAGCUGUGUUCGUCGUGUUCGACACUUCGUUGGGCCUAGGCUGCGCCGCGCCAGAAGACGUCGUGUGAUAAUGUGUCUUGUGCUACAUUCUUUGUGGAAAUCGUAGGUCAUCCAUAUCAAAAAUGAUUGGCAAGCAGCUUUCAUUAGCCAUCCGGAAGAGUUGAAAAUCUCACAGCAGGUGCAGAUACAUGUAAAACCCACAUGAUACGCAGAAAGUUCACAUAACUGACAAAUCCAAUGAUCAACAAGGUAAGAAUCAUCCUGACCUGUUUUGUCAAGAUUUAUACUUGAUGUUCACCUGUUAUUUCAAGAAAAGGAGCAGACAACAGGCUUAAAAGAGACAACAUGAAAACCUUAUCACUUUUUAACAACUACACAUGGAUAGACGAUCAAGACUAGAAUAUAGAUUUAAUUAUUUAAUUGAAAAAAGUUAUAAUGGCCUUAUGUUUCGACCCUAGCGGAGUCUUUCUCAAAAAA